UGACGCACUGGUGAUCUUCACGAAGAAGAGGGUCGGUGCGAUUUUAGCUGCUUUUGCAACUAGAUUGGUUUUGUGGUCUGCGCACUGGCAAUAUGGUCACGGUCCUGCGCCAAAGCGGUGUUUCCAAAUAUGUGCUUCAUAUUUGGAGUGUACGCGUUAUUUCGGAGUGUGCUGCUGCGAUGACUUGAGUCUUGCAAGUAGAUGGCAGGCCACGCGGCGUGUCGAGGCUCUGAAAUGUGCCAUCGUGGACGGCAUGGCACCGGCACCGGCACGUGCACAGUGGGGAAACUUGUUGAACCCGUGAGGGAGAACGGAGCUCAGAACUAAGUCUUUAACGCUGGGUUAAAUGAACUUGCUGAUACAGUAACCUGUGGAUUUAUGAAUUCAAGAGGACCUGAGGUUGUCCAUGCAAAAAAUAAACCAGAAAUCUGUGUAUAUAUAUAUUUUUGGCCUCCAUGUCUGUCAUUUGUGCUGUAUUUGGUGGCACUGUCUUUGAACCUUUGUAGCCGUCUCUAUGGCUUCACAGGCCAAGCUACAGUGCAAAAUUAAAAGUUUGUUAUAACUGGGGCUUCUUGGCUUUCCAACACCAAGUUGCUCUUUUAAAAGCAAACUACAGUUGUUUCCCCAAACAUGCACAUGUGGUUUAGAUCUGGAGGUGGGGGAGGAGUGUGCCUUCAGCACCCCUGACCCAACUCAGGAAUGGAUUGGAAGCUACCUGAAGAGUGGGACCAGUUGGCCUGAGAUUAGUUAAAAUUGCAAAAGUGGAGGGUUCUGUGUUUAGGAAAAAUAUGCUCAAAUAACUACAUUUGGUCAAGUAAUUUUACCAAAAGUUGUUUAUAGGUCCCCACACAACCAUUUUCACAACAUGGAUAAACACAAUUACUUAAAACAGUCAUUUUUCACAAAGUGCAACUGAAAUAAGCAGUUGCCAUAGAGAAGCACAUACAUCAUUUAACAUUGGCAGAUGUUAAACAAUGGCACAGAAUAAUGUAUGUUUAAAUUAGAACUCAAAAGGAUCUUUGGAAUGAAUUCUAAGGAAUUAAUGUAGGGACCUAUGAUUCUGGUGAAAUGCAAACUAAUAAAUGAGUAUUAUUAACUA